GACGAACGCUGGCGGCGUGCUUAACACAUGCAAGUCGAGCGGUAAGGCCCUUUCGGGGGUACACGAGCGGCGAACGGGUGAGUAACACGUGGGUGACCUGCCCUCAGCUCUGGGAUAAGCCUGGGAAACUGGGUCUAAUACCGGAUAUGACUCCAUGACGCAUGUUGUGGGGUGGAAAGCCUUGUGCGGCUGGGGAUGGGCCCGCGGCCUAUCAGCUUGUUGGUGGGGUGAUGGCCUACCAAGGCGA
rnacentral:rRNA from 1 species